rnacentral:rRNA from 1 species
UGGGGAAUUUUGGACAAUGGGGGAAACCCUGAUCCAGCCAUCCCGCGUGUGCGAUGAAGGCCUUCGGGUUGUAAAGCACUUUUGGCAGGAAAGAAACGUCAUGGGUUAAUACCCCGUGCAACUGACGGUACCUGCAGAAUAAGCACCGGCUAACUACGUGCCAGCAGCCGCGGUAAUACGUAGGGUGCAAGCGUUAAUCGGAAUUACUGGGCGUAAAUCGUGCGCAGGCGGUUCGGAAAGACAGAUGUGAAAUCCCAGGGCUCAACUUUGGAACUGCAUUUUUAACUACCAGGCUGGAGUGUGUCAGAGGGGAGUGGAAUUCCGCGUGUAGCAGUGAAAUGCGUAGAUAUGCGGAGGAACACCGAUGGCGAAGGCAGCCUCCUGGGAUAACACUGACGCUCAUGCACGAAAGCGUGGGGAGCAAACAGG